rnacentral:rRNA from 1 species
CCCUUCGAUGUUCGGAGCUGCACGCGCGCUACACUGUGGGUGGCAGCAUGUUAGCUUGCCUCGCUCGCAAGAGUGGGGUAAUCGUUUGAAAAUCCCACGUGAUUGGGAUAGGGACUUGUAAUUAUUUCCCUUGAACGAGGAAUCCCUAGUAAGUGCAGGUCAUAAGCUUGCGUUGAUUACGUCCCUGCCCUUUGUACACACCGCCCGUCGCUACUACCGAUUGAACGUUUUAGUGAGGUACUCGGACUGAGCCUCAGAAGAUUCACGUCUUUUGUGCUGCUCGGGAAGAUUCCCAAACUUGAGCGUUUAGAGGAAGUAAAAGUCGUAACA